rfam:Zea mays cultivar B73 chromosome 1, whole genome shotgun sequence.
GCCCUAGAUGAUGAAGAACUGGUGGCGCAUAUGUGCAAUGGCCUUGACGCUGAUUACAAUCCAGUUGUGACCUCGGUCACAGCUAGAUCGGAUCCCAUCUCGAUCCCUGAGAUUUAUUCGCAAUUGCUCAGUUUCGAGA